AUAAAGCUUUAUAUAUUUAUUAAAAUAGACACAUUUUGUUAAGUUUAGAAUUUCCCCAGAUUCUCAAUAAGUCAAUAUAAUAUUAACACUACAGUCAUUGGAACAUAAAUUCCACUCCAUAAUAUAUAUCUGCAUAUAUUUUUUUCUUUCUUCAUAACACACAACAACGCCCCAUUGUAUGGUGCACCAAUGGGAAUUGAAAACCACAAAAAGGAACACUUUUAAAAGCAAAUACAGCAAUUUCAUAACCAAAACAUCAGAGAAUGGACACCAGAAAAUACCACCUGCAGAAAUGAGAAAGCUAGAAGUUGAAUUUCAUCAUCAGACAGUUGUGACCAAGUGGAAUAAGGACCAGGGAUGUCCUCUGCAAACCUUAGGGAGUUGCUUACAUAAGCAAAAACAGUUGAGGUAUUUAUGAUCAGCAACCAAAGAGCGUGUUUGCUUUGGAAGAUGGGAGCUUGGGAUUCCUCCUCAGUUUAAUCUUUCCUUGCUAUUUGUCAGGGAAGGUAUGAGCACAGUCAGCUCCCAGGACCCACCAUAAGGGGACUCGUGCCUGACCUGUACAUUAAAAUUAAAAGGAUUCAGCAAGAUCAUACUUCCUGGGAAAAUCAAAUGACUCUUAGGUUCACGUUUUUGCUGGUGCAAAUGGUACCCAUGAAGAUAACUGGUGGGGAAAGGUUCAGAGAGGCGAAUGAUCCUCCAACUGUGUUAUUUCCUAGUUCUGAAUAGAGCUGUGUUUCUUUCCUUGGCCUUUCCAAAGAUCAGAGACUCAUGCAUCCCUAAGGAAGCGGUGGAUAGAUUUCAGGGGAGGUCUGCGAACUUGGAUGGAUGAAAUAUAUUUUUAUUUUCACUAACUCUGAUUUAGCAUUUCAUUCAGUUGUGAACCAAGGCAAUAAACAUGAUCUCAGAAGAAAUCCACGGGUUUCAUCAGAUUGCUAAAGGGUCAAUGGCAUAAAAAACUUUUCAGAAUUCCUGCAUUGGAGGGAUUAUAAGGAUCAUAAAUAAGCUACCAGCUCGAGAAAGUCUCACUUCUCUGUAGUGGAAUUCAUGGGUGAUUUCCUUAGAGGGAGAGAUUUCCAGGCCAUCUUUUCUCCAUCCAUCUAGAACACUGUUUAUGGCUUCUACACCAUGUAAGUUGACAGCAGAAUAUAUGUCCAUUUCAGAACAUAUAUCAAUAUCAGGUAAACCCCACAAACUUCCCUAAACUAAGGCAAGAAUAAGACAGUACUUUUUUUUUUUUACCUUCUGGAAGUUGAGAGCUAAGAAGAGAAAGGAGGACUAAUUUUUAGAGAAAAAAAGAGUCAAAGAUAGAAAAUGAACAAUAGUACAGAUACCUUCCUUGGGUUUCUCAGCAGGACCAAGAAAAGUGAGACCUUUUUCUUUUUAAGAAAACGAGAAGCAGCAUGACAAAAUGGACAGAGGGCCACCUUUGAAGUGAGCAAGACCUAGUCAUAUCUGACAAACACUAGCCGUGUGACCCUGGGCAAACUGCCUUACCCUCAGUGUCUCCAGGCAAGCCUUUAACCCAGCAGUCCCAAAGGAGUUACCUGUUUGUGGAAGGAGUUUGAGAAUGAUCUACACCAAGCCCUACCACUCCCUCAUCUAAACAAAUAAAUAAAUACAGUGUCUCAUAUAGGAAAGGAAAAUGUGAGUAACCUUUCUUAUGAAUUUUCAAAGGAAAUAAAAUAUUGAAAUAGUAACAAUAUAAGAGGCAACUUGCCUU
rnacentral:lncRNA from 1 species